AUGGGUGAAGCACAAUUUAGUGACCACAAGGACUCUGGCACAUCAGAAGUGCUAUUGCUAGAAGGGCUGGCUGAAGUGGUUCUACCAAGGGAAGGGACAGUAUUUGAGAGAAGGAGCAGCAAUACCCAGGAAAGACAAAUUGGUGAGGAUGCUGUACCAAGGAUACCUGGUUCAGUGAGUAAUGGAGAGGAUUCAAUCCCAGGAAUAACUGCAGAGACUCAUCAGCAACAUGACCUCAUUCUCUAGGACAGGAAGCUCACUGUGACGCCCAUGAAAAUAGUGGAGAAUCAGAGCCACAAAGAGGUUAUACAACAUGUUCAAAGUCACAUGGGUCAUAAAAGACAGAAGAGGCCCAAAGCCUGAUUUCCUGACUUCUGGUUUGGUGCUCUAUCAAUUGUAUGCCUCUGCCCAUCGUCCUCUGUCCAUCCAUUCAUUCAGUUGCUCAGUCCCGACAGUUUGCUUCAAGUUACCAGGGGCAGCAAAGUGGAAAAUGCUCAGAGUCCCAGAUCCUGCAUAGUUCGCAAUAGAAAUCUAUGGCUCCGUUUCUUCAUGGGUAAAUAUGAAAGGUUUGAACAAGAUGAUUUCCAAAAUAAAAUCAUAGAUGGUAUGAUAUAGUGGAAAGAG
rnacentral:lncRNA from 1 species